rnacentral:rRNA from 1 species
AGUGAACGCUGGCGGUAGGCCUAACACAUGCAAGUCGAACGGCAGCACAGUAAGAGCUUGCUCUUACGGGUGGCGAGUGGCGGACGGGUGAGGAAUACAUCGGAAUCUACUUUUUCGUGGGGGAUAACGUAGGGAAACUUACGCUAAUACCGCAUACGACCUACGGGUGAAAGCAGGGGAUCUUCGGACCUUGCGCGAUUGAAUGAGCCGCUGUCGGCUUAGCGAGUUGGCGGGGUAAAGGGCCACCAAGGCGACGAUGCGUAGCUAGUCUGAGAGGAUGACCAGCCACACGUGAACUGAGACACGCUCCCGACGCCUAAGGGAGGCACGAGUGGGGAAUCUUCGACAAGGGGCGGAAGCCUGAUCUCGCCAUACCGCGUAGGUGAAGAAGGGCUUCGGGUUGUACAGCCCUUUUGUUGGGAAAGAAAAGCAGCAGGUUAAUACCCAGCUGUUCUGACUGUACCCUAAGAAUAAGCACCGGCUAACUUCGUG